CAAAGGAGAGGCAUUUGAAUUUAAAAUAAAUAAAUCAUUUUUGUCAAAAUGCUCUGUCAAAUGGCACAUCAUGCUCUCUGCUACCCCAGAUAUUUUCAUCAUGGACUACAUAUAAAGUGUAGCUACAGAUUUCAAUACCAGUGUUGUCCUGAAUACAGCUGCUGGUAUCGACAUAGUGGUUAAAGCAGUCUAGACUGGCUGAAGCCAAAAGGGAAGGAUUAUUUUGAAAGUGUUUCAAUCUGCAAUGAAUCAUCAUAAUCCAUACACCGCAUAAACCCAAGUACCGCCACUAUUACAAGGAGAUGAUUGAGAGUGAACAAGCAACACUUCAGCUUUAAUUAUCUGGAGCCUGGUGUUGUGGCCAAGGAGCUUUCACUCAGAUGGAACCAGGUUUCAGCUGCUGUGCAAUGUUGACGUCCUUCCUCCCAGAGAUGUGCAAUCAUCACCCGGACUGGAUACAUCCCAGUAAACAUAUUUUUAAGAAGAUCAGGACUUUUGCAAUGAAAAGGCCAUGUACAUUAUAUGCUGCUCCAAAGGGCAGGACAGAAA